GAUGAACGCUAGCUACAGGCUUAACACAUGCAAGUCGAGGGACCGGCGCACGGGUGCGUAACGCGUAUCCAAUCUACCCAUGGCUAGGGAUAGCCUUUCGAAAGAAAGAUUAAUACCUAUGGCGAUGGAUGAGGAUGCGACUGAUUAGAUAGUUGGCGGGGUAACGGCCCACCAAGUCAUCGAUCAGUAGGGGUUCUGAGAGGAAGGUCCCCCACACUGGAACUGAGACACGGUCCAGACUCCUACGGGAGGCAGCAGUGAGGAAUAUUGGUCAAUGGGCGAGAGCCUGAACCAGCCAAGUAGCGUGAGGAUGACUGCCUAUGGGUUGUAAAUUCUUUUAUACGGGAAUAUGUACCGUACGAAUAAGCAUCGGCUAAUUCCGUGCCAGCGGCCGCGGUAAUACGGAAGAUGCGAGCGUUAUCCGGAUUUAUUGGGUUUAAAGGGAGCGUAGGCGGCUGUAAGUCAGCGGUCAAAUGUCAGGGCCCAACUUGGCAUGCCGUUGAAACUGCGGUCUUGAGUUACACAAGGAAGGUGGAAUUUGUUGUGUAGCGGUGAAAUGCUUAGAUAUGACGAAGAACUCCGAUUGCGAAGGCAGCCUUCUGGGGUUUACUGACGCUGAGGCUCGAAGCGCGGGUAUCAAACAGGAUUGAUACCCUGGUAGUCCGCGCUGUAAACGAUGAAUGCUGGUCAUUGGCCAGUGACUGAGGGAAACCAUUAAGCAUUCUACCUGGGGAGUACGCCGGCAACGGUGCAACUCAAAGGAAUUGAC
rnacentral:rRNA from 1 species